rnacentral:rRNA from 1 species
AACACAUGCAAGUCGAACGAGAAAGUGGAGCAAUCCAUGAGUACAGUGGCGUACGGGUGAGUAACACGUGGGUAAUNNANNCNUAGUGGGGAAUAACUUUGGGAAACCGAAGCUAAUACCGCAUAAGCUCGAGAGAGGAAAGCAGCAAUGCGCUGAGAGAGGAGCCCGCGGCCGAUUAGCUAGUUGGCAGGGUAAAAGCCUACCAAGGCAUAGAUCGGUAGCCGGCCUGAGAGGGCACACGGCCACACUGGCACUGAAACACGGGCCAGACUCCUACGGGAGGCAGCAGUGGGGAAUCUUGCACAAUGGGGGAAACCCUGAUGCAGCGACGCCGCGUGAGCGAUGAAGCCCUUCGGGGUGUAAAGCUCUUUCGGCAGGGAAGAUAGUGACGGUACCUGCAGAAGCACCGGCUAACUCUGUGCCAGCAGCCGCGGUAAUACAGAGGGUGCGAGCGUUAAUCGGAAUUACUGGGCGUAAAGGGUGCGUAGGUGGUUUUGUAAGUAACAUGUGAAAGUCCUGAGCUUAACUUGGGGAUUGCGUGUUAGACUGCAGAGCUAGAGUGUUGUAGAGGAUAGCGGAAUUUCCGGUGUAGCGGUGAAAUGCGUAGAUAUCGGAAGGAACAUCAGUGGCGAAGGCGGCUAUCUGGACAACAACUGACACUGAGGCACGAAAGCGUGGGGAGCAAACAGGAUUAGAUACCCUGGUAGUCCACGCUGUAAACGAUGAUAACUGGUUGUUGGAUGCGAGAGCAUUUAGUAACGAAGCAAACGCGUUAAGUUAUCCGCCUGGGGAGUACGGCCGCAAGGUUAAACUCAAAUGAAUUGACGG